CCUACGGGUGGCAGCAGUGGGGGAUAUUGCACAAUGGGGGAAACCCUGAUGCAGCGACGCCGCGUGGGUGAAGAAGUAUUUCGGUAUGUAAAGUCCUAUCAGCAGGGAAGAAAGAAGACGGUACCUGACUAAGAAGCCCCGGCUAACUACGUGCCAGCAGCGCCGGUAAUACGUAGGGGGUGAGCGUUAUCCGGAUUCACUGGGUGUAAAGGGAGCGUAGACGGCCGUGCAAGCCAGGAGUGAAAGCCCGGGGCCCAACCCCGGGACGGCUCUUGUAACUGGGCGGCUAGAGUGCGGGAGGGGCAGGCGGAAUUCCUGGUGUAGCGGUGAAAUGCGUAGAUAUCAGGAGGAACACCGGCGGCGAAGGCGAACUGCUAGAACGUAACUGACGCUGAUGCGCGAAAGCGUGGGGAGCAAACAGGAUUAGAUACCCUUGUAGUC
rnacentral:rRNA from 1 species